rnacentral:ncRNA from 1 species
AAAAUGGAGGGUUUGAUCCUGGCUCAGGACUAACGCUGGCGGCGUGUCUUAGACAUGCAAGUCGAACGGGUUGCUAUUUUGUAGCAAUACAGAAUAGCGCUAGUGGCGAACGGGUGAGUAAUGUAAAAGUAACUUACCUCAGAGAGGAGCACAACCCGCCGAAAGGUGGGCUAAUUCUCCAUAUUCUUUUCAGGCAUAAGUCUAUUAAGGAAAGGCUUCGGCCGCUCUGAGAAAGACUUUUAUCCUAUCAGCUUGUUGGUGAGGUAACUGCUCACCAAGGCAGUGACGGGUAGGGGGUGUGAGAGCAUGACCCCCCACAUGGGAACUGAGACACGGUCCCAACUCCUACGGGAGGCAGCAGUCUAGAAAUUUGGGCAAUGGGCGAAA